GACGAACGCUGGCGGCGUGCUUAACACAUGCAAGUGGAGCGACGAACCAGGGCUUGCCCUGGGGCAGAGCCGCGAACGGGUGAGUAACACGUGGGUAACGUGCCCCCAUGACUGGGACAACCCGGGGAAACCCGGGCUAAUACCGGAUGUGCCCCCUCACAUCAGUGAGGUGUGUAAAGGAAGCUUCGGCCUCCGCAUCGGGAUUGGCCCGCGGCCCAUUAGCUUGUUGGUGAGGUAACGGCUCACCAAGGCGGCGAUGGGUAGCUGGCCUGAGAGUACGAUCGGCCACACUGGAACUGAGACACGGCCCAGACUCCUACGGGAGGCAGCAGUGGGGAAUCUUGCGCAAUGCGCGAAAGCGUGACGCAGCAACGCCGCGUGGGGGAUGACGGCCUUCGGGUUGUAAACCCCUUUCAGUUGGGACGAAGGUCGGGCGGUUAACAGCCGUUCCGGCUGACGGUACCUUCACAAGAAGCCCCGGCUAACUACGUG
rnacentral:rRNA from 1 species